CUCACCAGGAAAAGCCCCUUAGGGUUGCCAUAAACCAGAAAUGACUUGAAGGCACUCAACAACAACAAGAGUUGUCCAUCAACUGAAGAUGAGUAAGGGUUGUUGAUUAUUUAAUGGAACUCAGAGUUUAAAGCAAUUGUUUUUAUCCCAGAAGCUGAGCUGCUUUACAAUCGGCUAAUGUGAUAGUUUGUUUUCCUCUAUAAGUGAAAAUUCUGAAAUGCUUUCUUGGUCUCCUUCAGGACUCUGUCAAGGAGAGUGAAAAGGAAAGGAAAAUAUGCCUACAUCUAGAAUCUCAGGACUCAAGACAGCUCACAAAGUUAAAUGAAAAUAUAAGAUAAGUCUGCCUUAUCUGGAAUUCUGAAAUCUGAAAUACUCCAAAAUCCAAAAUUGUCCACAUGAAUGGCCUACUGAUUCCUCAAGUCGUCCGAAAAAGAGGCCUUCUGAUUCGACUCUUGCUAUCAACAGGUCCAAAUCCAAGAAGAGUGAUAAAACUGUUUGUGUCCACAAGAUGUCAUCCAGGAGUGACGCUAAGCCCAUGCCCAUUAUACUGAAGUCCACUGAUGUACAUUCAAGGAUUUUCCUCGAUGUAUUUCAAAGAUUGCAAAUACCAACCAUUCAGUGACAACCUCUUCAGUGAUCACUACAACCACUGUUGCUUCUGUCUUUGAAGGCGGAUGGGGUUGUCUUUCUUUCUGGAGAUCUAUCUGGGAAGGCCCACUGGAAGAGGUCCAUCUUGACAGCU